UUCCGUGAGCCUCGAUCGGUUCUUCUCAGGCGCCAUCAGUCUGCCGAUAGCUAGUUGUUGAACACAUCGCCAUACCUACUGCGCAGGCCAUUCCUUGAGAAUAUUUUUUCUCCAAAAGAUCAUGGAUAAAAUAAAUAUUGAUAUCAUCGAAAAUAUGCCCCCGUCAGCUGUGGAAUGUGACCGUAACAGAACAUUUGGUGUUAAAAAAGGCAGCACCGCCGGCACGGUGUUAGGACAGUCGCGUGGGGCGAUCAGCGUUAUAAAAGCCACGAGAUUCCCUAACACAUCGACUGCUCUGAAACGUAAGCGCCAGCCACCAGUCGUAAGGUCAUCCCCCACAAGGACAUAUGCGCAACAGCUGUUAGACCCCGCCCCAGCAAUCAAUGACGAUGCAUCAGAACUAGCAUCGGCAAUAGCGGCUAUACCAGGGGCUGUCGAGCGGCGAAUCCAUCAUCAAUGUGUCGAGACGCAGACCUGUGAUAAUACACGGUCUUCUGAGACACAAACUCCGCAGGAGCCAAAGACGAGAACAUUUGCUACACAGACAAAGCCGUGGGUUCAAACAGUCCCCAAGAAAUCCGUUAAAAGAUCACAGUUGUUCGACCCCGCAAUUGAUGGUGGGGUUGUUUGUCCCAGCGGAGUCACCAAUAAUCAGUAUACAGAGUUGAGAGGUUUGCUCGGCGACAUACACAUUGCCGUUAGUGCACUAACCACAUCACUUAGCACCUUAGGCUCUGACCUAUCUGCCCGUCACAGGUCUGAGAAUAAAACAUCUGCCGACGUGAUCACGACACUUUUAGAGGCUAUCAAUGCACUAGGUGUUGACCUGUCUGCUAGCUACAUGUUGAGAAUAAAACUACUAUCUAUGUGAUAAAUACCCUCGGUGUAACUCUCGGAAGACUUGCCCAAAAGAUAGCCCUCAGAAAGCGCUGCCAACGCCACAAUCACUCAUGAGCUAUUAACAAAAAAACACAAGCCUGUUUGAACAGAUGUAGACUGCUGCAGUGUUAUACACGCCACCGGGGUCCACUUUUUUUUUUUUUACUAUUUGUUCUUCUAUUUUUCUUUACUAUUUUACGACUCUAUCAUAUGCUAAUGUAGUUUUUUCUUUUUUUCUGAUCGUCAAUUAGGACGCUGCCUCCUUAAACUGUACUCAUACCCCUUGCUGUUGUUGGAUCGUUAGUUUCUCUCCUGUUGCCAGACUGUGGUUCUGCUCAGUACAAGAUUAAAGAAACCUUUUUAUUUUGAAAGAACUCCUUGUGCUGCUUUUGGGUUCCUGCCUUGCUCACACUUAACAGGUAUGCAGCUUUUGUGGAAGCCAUUCACUUUUCAUGCAAGCUCACUCAUAAUGUCUUCACUUGGGCUGUCAAUCAUGACAUCUCUAUCCAAUAAGCUCAACAAAACAAUUACAGUCCAUCAUCUUGCUACUGUCUGUCAAUAAUAAACACAUAUAUUUUCUU